rnacentral:rRNA from 1 species
GCCUGAAGGGCACGCAAAGUCGAACGCUCUGAUGAUUCGCAAGGAUUAUCAGAGAGUGGCGGACGGCUGAGUAACGCGUAAGUGACCUACCUUCAAGUGAGGAAUAACUUGCCGAAAGGCAAGCUAAUACUGCAUGUGCUGGUAAGUUGAGGCUUAUCAGUAAAGCCUUAGGGCGCUUGGAGAGGGGCUUGCGUCUGAUUAGUUAGUUGGUGGGGUAAUGGCCUACCAAGACGAUGAUCAGUAGCUGGUCUGAGAGGACAAGCAGCCAGACGGGGACUGAGACACGGCCCUGACUCCUACGGGAGGCAGCAGCAAGGAAUUUUGCGCAAUGGGCGAAAGCCUGACGCAGCGACGCCGCGUGGGGGAUGAAGGCCCUCGGGUUGUAAACCCCUUUUCUCGAGGAAGAACAAUGACGGUACUCGAGGAAUAAGUCUUGGCUAACUACGUGCCAGCAGCCGCGGUAAUACGUAGAAGGCGAACGUUAUUCGGAUUUACUGGGCGUAAAGCGGGGGUAGAC